GAGGGUAUAGCUUAAGUGGUAGAGUAUGUGCUUAGCACGUACAAGGUCCUGGGUUCAAUCCCCAGAACCGCCU
rnacentral:tRNA from 1 species